AUGAUGGCUGUCAUGUCUGGGAGCCGGUGGCUGGAGAGGAAGGAGGAGAGAGACGGCAGGAGCGGCGGGCGGCGCGGCCUCCUCCGCAGGCUGCAGGCGGCCCCGGGCCUGGCGGCGGGCGGCCCUCGCGCGGCCGGGGCGGGCGUCGGCGGCGGGGCCUGCGCGCGCUCAGGCGGGCUGGCGGCCGCGGGCCGGGGCGGCGCCGGGGGGCCGGGCGGCCGGGCGGCGGCGGGGGGCAGGCUCUCGGGCGGCCCGGGGCCCUGCGCGCGCCGCCGCCGCCGCCGCCGUGGUGCGGGCGGGAGCGGGGGGGGCAGCGGGGCGCCGGCGGCCGCGGCCCCCUCCCCGGAGCCGCCGCCGCCCGGCCGGGCCCGCGGCUUCCACGGUCCCCCGCGCGGGGCGCCGAGCGACGGGAGCACGGCUAGACGCGGGCGCGGGGGCGCGGGCGGGGGCGCGGGCGGGCGCGGGCGCGGGCGGGCGCGGGGGCGCGCGGGCGGGCGCGAGGGCGGGGGCGCGGGCGGGCGCGGGCGCGGGCGCGGGCGGGGGGGCGGGCGCGGGCGCGAGCGCGAGGCCGAGGCCGAGGGCGGGCCGCCCGCCGCUGCCGCUGCCGCUGCCGCUGCCGCCGCCGCCGGCCGGCCGGCUCCCCGAGGGCGCUGCCCCCGCGGCUGCUCACGGGCGCUGAGAGGGGCUCUGGGCCGCGGCCGCCGCCGUCUCUCAUCUCCCUCCCUGCGCGCGGCCUCGCCUCUCCGCGGCGCAACUCUCAAACUUCCAUCAUGGCUGCAGCUUCCGAGACGAGGCGCCGAGCAGCGCGCACGCCCGCCCCGCCGCGUAUCCUGCCGCGGCGCACAAAGAGUCCCGCCACAUCACCGCCGCCCCCGCCCCCGCCGCCGCCGCCGCCGCCGCCGCCGCCGCCGCCGCCGCAGCGAGCCCGGCGCCCCGGAGCCCGGGGGGAGGCGGGGGCCGGGGGGAGGCGGGGGGAGGCGGGGGCCGGGGGGGGCCGGGGCCGGGCGGGGGGAGGGGCGGGGGGCGACCGCCGCGCAUGCCCAGUGCGAGCGGCCCCCGGAGCUGCACUUGCCGCGGCCGCUCCUGCAGCGGCGGACGGACGGACGGGCGGGCGGGGGCGUCGGGGACCCGAGUCGGACGGAGGUCGCCGCGCACCGGGGGCGCAGGGGGCGAGGGCGGGGCCAGCGGACCCGGGGCGCCCCUCCCCCGCCCGCAGCUCCCUGUGUCCGCCCCGUGUGCCCCCGCGUGUCCGCUCCCCGCGUGUCCGAGCACGAGGAUCACCCCCACUAUGGCCCUCGCGUGGCCACUGCCCCCGUGCCUGCUCCCCGCGUGUCGGUGUGA
rnacentral:lncRNA from 1 species